GGAUGAUAGCAGCAAUGGAGUGCCAGCUGGUGCCAGGCCCCAGGCCAGCGCUGCACGAGCGGUGAGCACCUGACUCACCUUAAUUAUGGGUCCGCGACACGUCGGGGCGCGCCGCCGGGGACGCUGCAGAUGGCCCGGAAGCACCAGCUCCGGGGGCGACCGGACAUCCCGGCCUGCCAGUGUUUGCAGUGAACCGUGUGAACCGCCUAAUAGCGGCUGGAAGUGAAACUCGAUUCCUGGGCAGAAAGGAGCACGUGACCGCACCUGAGCAGCCAGGAUCGCAGGACAGGCGGGCUGGGCAGGUGCCGGAGCGCCCACGUGCCUGGCUUCGGGACCCAGGGUCCCCUCUCCCGCCGCCGAGCC
ensembl:lncRNA